rnacentral:rRNA from 1 species
CCUACGGGUGGCAGCAGUGGGGAAUAUUGGACAAUGGGGGGAACCCUGAUCCAGCGACGCCGCGUGAGUGAAGAAGUAUUUCGGGAUGUAAAGCUCUAUCAGCAGGGAAGAAAAUGACGGUACCUGACUAAGAAGCCCCGGCUAACUACGUGCCAGCAGCCGCGGUAAUACGAAGGGGGCAAGCGUUAUCCGGAUUUACUGGGUGUAAAGGGAGCGUAGACGGUGGCGCACGUCUGAUGUGAAAGGUCGGGGCCCAACCCCGGGACGGCUUUGGAAACUGUUGAACUGGAGUACUGGAGAGGUAAGCGGAAUUCCUUGUGUAGCGGUGAAAUGCGUAGAUAUUAGGAGGACCCCCAGUGGCGAAGGCGGCUUACUGGACUGUAACUGACGUUGAGGCUCGAAAGCGUGGGGAGCAAACAGGAUUCGAUACCCCUGUAGUC